GUUUAUUUUUGCUGGUGAUUUUGAAAUUUUCUCCAAGGCAAAAGUUGUAUUCCCCUUCUGUCUCUCUCUGCUUUUCUACAGUACCACUCCUGCCAUUACUGAUCAAACAGUUCAGAAUGAUGUUUGCUGUAGCCUUGGGAUUUUAAUGUUGCCAGCCCGGCCCACACCAAAACCUAUUCCUGAAAGUUUCCCAGCCUUCUAAAGCAGGUUUGGCUUCUGUCCAAAUGUGAGAUCAUAAAUCUUUGUGAGAUUGUUGGCUGCGAAAUCUGCACUGAUCAAAGUCCUCGGGAGGAAUUUUGGAGCCACUGUGAGCUGGAAAAGAAGUACAAUGUGAU